AGGGGGUGUGGCCAGAUGGUUUCUCCUUAAAAUGGCUCCAAGUCUGGGGACAGCUAGAGCCAGCGGAAGGGCACCCCGUGGCAGUGCUGGAGUAGCUGUUCGAGUGGGACUGACUGGGCCAAACCGGACCAGACGUGAAGUAGACCGCGCCUGGAGCACCACCCCGCCCUCCCGCGCUCUGCGUGCGCGUACCGAGAGUCUCCCUCCCCCUGUCUUGAGCUGAGUCUAGGGCCUACUGGCGCAUGAGUCCUUGGCUUCCCGCGGCAUGGGCAUCUCUGCGCACCGGUUCUGUCCUGGCCUCAGAGGAACUUUGUCGCGUUCUCUAUCCGCUGGACUAGACGGGUGGGAUGCUUGACACAAAUGGGGCUUGGCUGUGGGGUUCUUUGCAGGGCCGGUUGCAAUGGGCUUGGGGGGAGGCUGUCCAGCCGCUGCUAUGUGGGCCAGUUUGUCCCCUGGCACUUCAUGAGCUGGCAGCGUCACCGGACAAAAGGUCCUAAGCUUUGGGGUGUCCCAGAAGUGGACACAUGGGUUUACUUCCUCUCGGGUCUCACGGGAUCGCUUCCCUCUUGACGAAUUCCGAAGCCUGCCCGGUACAAGUGGCUCCUGCUUGGGACUCACAGGGCUAAUCCAGCCCUUCUGAUCUAAUCCGGAUCAGGACCUCGUCCGGGGGGAUGCCCCCACCUUCUAUUGUUCUGGGGCCCAGGUGCACCCCCAGACUGAUGGUGGCAGGCAGAGGCGACGAAAAGAGCUCGGGCUGAUGGCCCUCUCUGGAAUCCCUGGAGAACUCUGACCAGGGAGGUCCUGGGUCCUCUCUGUAGGGCCGCAAUGGCGGUGAGUCCCACAAGGCCGCCCAGCCCGCAGCUCGCUAAAGAUAGAUCUUCACUUCCUGGGGAAAAAAACCACCCUAACCGUCUUCAUGGAGGGAGAGUAACAAAAAUCACCAACUUGCUGGUGGGUCCCAGCCCUGCUUGCAGCUGAACCCACACCACAGCAUGGAAAGUGCUUUGGAAUGACACGAUUACUCCCGUUGAGUGGGCACCCAAGAAGCCAUCGGGAAUGUCGUGUCCGCCCAGUGCUCUUUCGGCACCUCCCAAACAGGGCCUCAUAGCCCGGGCCUUCCCGAACUUUUCCUAUCUCUAGAUGUCACUCCUCUCCGGAGCAAAGUUCACCGGUUGGAUUCACUCAUUACUGGGGGAAGUGGAGUUUCACAUUACUUGGAAUCGAAAGCGUUUGGACAUAGAAAAGCUCGCCUGCAGCUUGCUCUACCUGAGAGCUCUGCUUAUUUGGGUCUUCUCAUCAUCACAUUUGUCUUAAACUGGCCAGUUGCCUAAAGAACCAAAGGUGCCGGUAACACCAGUUUAAAGGAAAAACAUUAAAGGCUGGUAAUCCUGGAAA